rnacentral:rRNA from 1 species
UACGGAGGAUCCAAGCGUUAUCCGGAAUCAUUGGGUUUAAAGGGUCCGUAGGCGGCCCUGUAAGUCAGUGGUGAAAUCUCCCGGCUCAACCGGGACACUGCCAUUGAUACUGCAGGGCUUGAAUUAUUGGGAAGCAACUAGAAUAUGUAGUGUAGCGGUGAAAUGCUUAGAUAUUACAUGGAAUACCGAUUGCGAAGGCAGGUUGCUACCAAUACAUUGACGCUGAUGGACGAAAGCGUGGGGAGCGAACAGG